AGUGAACGCUGGCGGUAGGCCUAACACAUGCAAGUCGAACGGCAGCACAGUAAGAGCUUGCUCUUACGGGUGGCGAGUGGCGGACGGGUGAGGAAUACAUCGGAAUCUACUUUUUCGUGGGGGAUAACGUAGGAAAACUUACGCUAAUACCGCAUACGACCUACGGGUGAAAGCAGGGGAUCUUCGGACCUUUCGCGAUUGAAUGAGCCGGUGUCGCAUUAGCUAGUUGGCGGGGUAAAGGCCCACCAAGGCGACGAUCCGUAGCGGGUCUGAGAGGAUGAUCAGCCACACUGGAACUGAGACACGGUCCAGACUCCUACGGGAGGCAGCAGUGGGGAAUAUUGGACAAUGGGCGCAAGCCUGAUCCAGCCAUGCCGCGUGGGUGAAGAAGGUCUUCGGGUUGUAAAGCCCUUUUGUUGGGAAAGAAAAGCAGCAGGUUAAUACCCCGCUGUUCUGACGGUACCCAAAGAAUAAGCACCGGCUAACUUCGUG
rnacentral:rRNA from 1 species